rnacentral:rRNA from 1 species
UACGUAGGAGGCGAGCGUUGUCCGGAUUUACUGGGCGUAAAGCGCGUGUAGGCGGCUCGAUUAGUCUGCUGUGAAAGCUCUCGGCUUAACCGGGAGAGGUCGGUGGAUACUGUCGGGCUUGAGGACGGUAGAGGGGGGUGGAAUUCCCGGUGUAGUGGUGAAAUGCGUAGAUAUCGGGAGGAACACCAGCGGCGAAGGCGGCCCCCUGGGCCGCUCCUGACGCUGAGGCGCGAAAGCGUGGGGAGCAAACGGG